AAAAAGGAAAAAACAUGAAGGAAACCCUAGCCCCCAUCUCUUUCCCCUUCCUUUAACGUGUAGUCUCAUUCUUAAGAAGCUUCUUCUUCCUCCAUAGCAGUCUCAUUCUUCUUCUUCUUCCUUCAUAGUAGCCCCAUUCUUCGUCAUCAUCGAUGGCGACUCCACGAAAGUAUUUCCCAGCGGACGGCGAUGCGAACGAACCCCAUGGCGGCGUGACCCUCGGGCUAUAGCGUUUUCAGCGGUGGUCCGACAGCAACAAACGCCCAGAUAUGGCGUUCUUCGACUGCCCAGCAGUGCGUGCGACUCCUUUUGGGAGUCGUUUCGUGUGCAGUACUGUGGAUUGGAAGGAAGUUAUUUCUAUUCUACAUCGUGAAUCGUGAUCUUUUACUCAGUUUUCUGCUCAUUUUCUAUCCGAUUUUGCUUGUAAAUUACUGUUUGCUUUGAAAACAAAGUCCCUCGAAGGUUCAUGAAAAUGCCGAGUUUUAACUGAUUAUUUUUUUGCUUUGAUUUUACUUUUUAAGUUGUUUUCUGGUUCAGUGUGAGAGUUUAGAUCGUUGAACAGCGGCGAAAAGAUUUGGUCGGAAUCGGCGGUGGAUUUUUAUGUUUCGUUUUGUUCGUAAUAUCGUGCAUGAUCUUGUAGUUGAGAUUUAAGAGUAACUUCAAUUUUUUUUUUUGUAUUUUUUUCUCCCUUGUUUGUGUUGUUCAUUGUAGAGCGAAGAGGAUUUUUUUGUAUGUUAUUGUUCAGUUUUCAAACGUGAGAAAGAAAAAACUGUUUGUUUAAUAAUUAUUAUUAAUUUUUAAUUCUUACUGAUUAAUCUUCUUCUUCAAAGUAGGAAUGAGCAUCUAAACCCUGCAAAAAGGGGAAAAAAUUUCAAAGAUUCGAUGUUCAAAGCGAUGGAAGAGAGAGAACCCAUAAGUGAGUGCGGCUCCUUUAACGGCGGCAAGGAGCAUUCGGUGGUAGGGUUGUUGCUUAUUCGGCGAAUCGAUGGUGAUCACUUUCUGAAGAUGAUGAUGAGGUUAUUGAAUAAAAAAUUAAAGCUUUCUUGGAUGAAAAUGUAUGGAUUUUCAAUUUGAGUCUUUGAGAUAAGUGACUAUUUUGUCUUUCUAAUAAAUAUUGCCGGCCCUUUUAUUGAAUGCACUUGUCCGCUCUUACUUGUUCGGUUUGAUUUGCAAGACUUUAGGCUUUUGAAUUGAAGAAAAUGCAGACAGACAUACCUAUAUUUGCAAUGCUUUCGGCUUGAUCAUAAGCUUUUCCAACUAUGUAGCCAUGAUGAAAAAUAUCAUUAAUACAUUUUUUGGCGUUGAGUAUAUCCUUUACUGCAUUGGGUCUUUGAUGUGGCUUAGGAAGAAUAAGCCGAAUACUCUAAUAUCCAUAGUUUACAUCACAAGGAGUAACUUGCGGCAGCAACAUUUUGAGAAAGGAGAAUGUAUAGGGAAGAAUUUCGGCGUAUUUCGACAUGUACAAGGUUCAUGUAAUGUGAAUGUAGUUUGUUGGGCAUUCUCUUAUUGUAGUCAUAGAUAGUAUAGUAUUUGUAUAAAAUAUCCUAAUGUACGAAUUUGAUAUGACUUUGAUCUAGAUAAUUUUUUUGAAACGUGUACAGUGUUAUAAAAUGUAUUUCAUGGCUGUUAUGAAGUUAUCA